AUUGAACGCCGGCGGCAGGCCUAACACAUGCAAGUCGAGCGGAUGAAGGGAGCUUGCUCCUGGAUUCCGCGGCGGACGGGUGAGUAAUGCCUAGGAAUCUGCCGGGUAGUGGGGGACAACGUUUCGCAAGGAACGCCAAUACCUCCUACGCCCUACGGGAGAAAGCAGGGGACCUUCGGGCCUUGCGCUAUCAGAUGAGCCUAGGGCGGAUUAGCUAGUUGGUGAGGUAAAGGCUCACCAAGGCGACGAUCCGUAACUGGUCUGAGAGGAUGAUCAGUCACACUGGAACUGAGACACGGUCCAGACUCCUACGGGAGGCAGCAGUGGGGAAUAUUGGACAAUGGGCGAAAGACUGAUCCAGCCAUGCCGCGUGUGUGAAGAAGGUCUUCGGAUUGUAAAGCACUUUAAGUUGGGAGGAAGGGUUGUAGACUAAUACUCUGCAAUUUUGACGUUACCGACAGAAUAAGCACCGGCUAACUCUGUGCCAGCCGCCGCCGUAACAC
rnacentral:rRNA from 1 species